rnacentral:rRNA from 1 species
ACACGGCCCAGACUCCUACGGGAGGCAGCAGUAGGGAAUCUUCCGCAAUGGACGAAAGUCUGACGGAGCAACGCCGCGUGAGUGAUGAAGGCUUUCGGGUCGUAAAACUCUGUUGUUAGGGAAGAACAGGUACAAGAGUAACUGCUUGUACCUUGACGGUACCUAACCAGAAAGCCACGGCUAACUACGUGCCAGCAGCCGCGGUAAUACGUAGGUGGCAAGCGUUAUCCGGAAUUAUUGGGCGUAAAGCGCGCGCAGGCGGUUUCUUAAGUCUGAUGUGAAAGCCCACGGCUCAACCGUGGAGGGUCAUUGGAAACUGGGGAACUUGAGUGCAGAAGAGAAAAGCGGAAUUCCACGUGUAGCGGUGAAAUGCGUAGAGAUGUGGAGGAACACCAGUGGCGAAGGCGGCUUUUUGGUCUGUAACUGACGCUGAGGCGCGAAAGCGUGGGGAGCAAACAGGAUUAGAUACCUUGGUAGUCCACGCCGUAAACGAUGAGUGCUAAGUGUUAGAGGGUUUCCGCCCUUUAGUGCUGCAGCUAACGCAUUAAGCACUCCGCCUGGGGAGUACGGUCGCAAGACUGAAACUCAAAGGAAUUGAC